rnacentral:tRNA from 1 species
GGAGACGUCGCAUAGUCCGGUCGAGUGCGCCCGCCUGCUAAGUGGGUAGGCAGUUUAUAGCUGUCUCGAGGGUUCAAAUCCCUCCGUCUCCG